rnacentral:lncRNA from 1 species
CCACAUCUGACAGGAUCCUUAUGAGUAAGGGAAACGGAAGAUCUGGGUACAGUUGAUGCUUGUGGAUGAGUGAAUGGAGGGAUCCAUUGAUCAUCCACUCAGUCACUAUCCCCACAAGUCUCUGGUAGCGGUAAAUCCCAAGAGAAGGCAGGAGACAUUCAGAUUUACAGCAUCUGAUAAUUGCUAUAUCCUGAAGCAGCAACUUCCA